rnacentral:rRNA from 1 species
UACGUAGGUGGCAAGCGUUGUCCGGAAUUACUGGGUGUAAAGGGAGCGCAAGCGGGAAGCCAAGUCAGCUGUGAAAACUACGGGCUUAACUUGUAGACUGCAGUUGAAACUGGUUUUCUUGAGUGAAGUAGAGGUUGGCGGAAUUCCGAGUGUAGCGGUGAAAUGCGUAGAUAUUCGGAGGAACACCGGUGGCGAAGGCGGCCAACUGGGCUUUAACUGACGCUGAGGCUCGAAAGUGUGGGGAGCAAACAGG